GGGCGCGCUCCUUUUGAAACAUGCAGAAGGGGCGUGUGGGCUGGAGGUCGCUGUCCCUUCUGCGAAUCGGUCGAGUAACGCUGGAGUGGGAAGCUGGAUCAGCGGAGACCUCGAUGUGCGGUUAGGCCAGGAGCGGUCACAGCUUCAUUCAUUGUGCAGCUACCAGGGUUUGUCACGCGCUGUGAGCCACUGUGUCGAAGCCCCUCCUUGCCUCCCCUGAGUUUAGCUCUGUCCGCUCCAUACCAACCUUCAACCGUAAAUAAAGUUGCCUCCUUUUGGCACAGCCUUUUAAGGAGCCUUUGUGACCGCGGAGGUGGUUUGCUCUGACACUAACCAAACUUCACCUUCUGGAGGGCCACUUGCCCAGGUCCCGUUUGUGGCCAUGGUAUGGAUCUUAGCAACGUGUUCACACGAUCAUGUUUUUAUAAACUUAGCAAAACUGGCGAUAUCAGUAUUUUAAUCCACAUCUGUUAAGACAACUGCCUCUUUCCACUGGGACUUUCCGGUCUGGGAGCAUUGAAGUAGCCAGGGCAUCUUGGGGCGUUUUUAGGUAGGUCUUCUCGUGGCUAGGGCUUGAUUGUUUCUACUUGGGCUGCCUUUGGAUUCUGGGUGAGAGGCUCAGUAAAGAUAAAAGGGAAACAGUUGCGUUACUGAAGUGCCUCCAAAUCUCGGAAGGUGGCAGCCUCCUCCCUCCACCCCUCCCAGCAAUGAAAGGACAGCGUGUGGUGAAAGAACCAUCACAAGAACUGCAGCCAUGGGUCCUCCCUCUAUAUCAGGCAAGGCUUUACUGUGAACCACUAAUGUGCCAGGUACCAUGUGUGGAGGCACUGGCCCAAAGAUGAAGAUGAGGUUUCUCUCCUUGAGAAGUACAGUGUGGGAGACAGACAGGUAAGUGGAUAAUUAUAUUACGGAUGAUUUGUGCUAUGAUUGGGGUAUGAACAGAAUUCCGUAGGAGCAGAGAAGAGUGACUAAUCCUGCCUGAGGGUGUCAGCUAAUGUUUAAUGGAAGAGAGGACAUGUUAACUGGGUCUAAGAGAGGAUAGGAGAUGGCCAGAUGGAGAUGGAGAGAAAAGACAUCUAGGGAGGAGUCAUUUGUGGAUAGAGUGACGAAGGGACUGUUGCUGAGUUCUGAGACGUGGCCUGCACAUGGACAGCCUGGAUCCCUUAGACAAUAGUGGGAUGGGUUAGUCCACAGGGUUAACGAUUUAUUGAAAGGAGGAUUGAGGCUUAUUAAAUGACUGGGUUGAUAAACAACCCACUGACUGUUUCUCUAUGCAGAAACCAUUCAGGCAUCCAUCAUAGUUUCUCCACUUUGUGUUUAAGCUGAAGUAUCAAAAACACUUAAAUCGCUGCCAUUCAUAUUUGGGGAGGGCAGUGUAAAUUGGUAUGGCCCACAUGAAAAGCAGAUUUGCACUAUCUGUAAAAUUACAAAUGGUGUAUGUAUCUUAUGACCAAGCAGUUUCACGUCUAGGGAUAUAUCUUUAGAUGCACUCACUCACACAUGGAAUAACUUAUGCAUCAUGUUGUUGUUUCAGUUCAGUUCAGUCUCUCAGUCGUGUCUGACUCUUUGUGACUCCAUGGACUGCAGCAUGCCAGGCCUCCCUGUCCAUCACCAACUCCUGGAGCUUACUCAAACUCAUGUCCAUUGAGUCGAUGAUGCCAUCCAACCAUCUCAUCCUCUGUCAUCCCCUUCUCCUCCUGCCUUCAAUCUUUCCCAGCAUCAGUGUCUUUUAAAUGAGUCAGUUCUUCUCAACAGGUAGCCAAAGUAUUGGGAGUUUCAGCUUCAGCAUCAGUCCUUCCAAUGAAUAUUCAGGACUGAUCUCCUUUAGGAUCCAAGGUUGGAUCUCCUUGCUGUCCAAGGGACUCUCAAGAAUCUUCUCCAACACCACAGUUCAAAAGCAUCAAUUCUUCGGUGCUCAGAUUUCUUUAUAGUCCAACUCUCAUAUCCAUACAUGACGACUGGAAGAACCAUAGCUUUGACUAGAUGGACCUUUGUUGGCAAAGUAAUGUCUCUGCUUUUUAAUAUGCUGUCUAGUUUGGUCAUAACUUUUCUUCCAAGGAGCAAGUGUCUUAAUUUCUUCAUGACUUCAGUCACCAUCUGCAGUGAUUUUGGAGCCCCCCCAAAAAGUCUGUCACUGUUUCCAUUGUUUCCCCAUCUAUUUGCCAUGAAGUGAUGGGACCAGAUGCCAUGAUCUUAGUUUUCUGAAUGUUGAGUUUUAAGCCCACUUUUUCAUUCUCCUCUUUCACUUUCAUCAAGAGGCUCUUUAGUUCUUCUUCACUUUUGACAUAAGGGUAGUGUCAUCUGCAUAUCUAAGGUUAUUGAUAUUUCUCCCGACAAUCUUGAUUCCACCUUGUGCUUCCUCUAGCCCAACGUUUCUCAUGAUGUACUCUGCAUAUAAGUUAAAUAAGCAAUACUGUUUACUAAAGCAAAAGACUGGAUACAAAUUAAAUGUUCAUCAAGAGGGGAUUGGUUAAAUAAAGUAUGGUAUCUCUUUAAGAUGGGUUACUAGUCAGUUUAAAAAGAAAACAAAGCAUAAGGUAGUUCUUUAUAGUAUUGUUUGGAAUGAUACAUUGUUGAAGGAAAAAGAGCAAAAAGCAGACCAUUUGUAUAAAUUGGGGAUGGAGAGAAUUCAAGUCUUCAUGGAAUGUUCCAACAAAGAACCCUGGGCUGCCCUGCCUCCAGGCUCCUUGUGAUAUGUAAUUAGAAAGGUCAGCUGAGAAGGAGUCUUCUGUGACUUGUAGCCGAAAGCAUCCAGUUACAACUCUGAAGUCUGCAGAGAUCUUUAUGUUUGGACCAGGAAUAAUGCAGAAGAGUGAAAUCUUUGAUUUGCAGAAACUCUCCAGUUGACUCAAUUUUAACUCCAAUGGGCAUCCCCAAGUGCUUUCUCUCUCGGGGUAUGCUGAGCUCUGGAUCUCUGGGCAGCCAGUCCUUCACAUGAUGCGGGUGUGGGGCUUCUGUGCAGAGACGCAAUCUGGCAGAAUUCAACCUGCCUCCUUUUCAAAGACAACCUCAUCAAAACAAAAAUGCUGAACGCAUGAAAGAACAUGUGUGCAGUCAGGGGCAAGAGGGCAGUGCACUGGAUGCUAAAAUCAGACCUUGUAAUGUGGAAUUUAGACAAGCCAUUCUCUGCCUGCAGAGUUCAGUUCAGUUGCUCAGUCGUGUUCGGCUCUUUGUGACCCCAUGGACUACAGCAUGCCAGGUCUCCCUGUCCAUCACCAACUCCCAGAGUUUACCCAAACUCAUGUCCAUUGAGUUGGUGGUGCCAUCUAGCCAUUUUGCCUGCCAAAGGAUCCAGAUAAUCCUGCCUUGCCACAGUGACUGUAGAGCUGAGAAGUCUCUGGAUCAAGCCAUGUGAUCUGAGAACUUGUCCACAUGGCUGAAAUUGUCCUGUCAGUGUCAUUCAGACAAUUUCAAGGACUCACUUUCACUCACUCAUCUAUUCUUUCAAGAAAAUUAUUUGUCCCCUGCACUCUAUUAGGUGCUAGAGAUACAACAGUGAGCAGAACUGAACUGGCCUUGCCUUUAUUGACUUCCUGUCUGGAGGAGGAGAUGGCCAUUAGUUGAAUAUUAUCCAGUAGGUAUACAAUGGUAACUGAGCAAAGUAUGGUAAAGGAAGUGUUCAUGGUGGAUAAGAGUGGUUAAGAAAGAUACCUGUAUUUGAAUAGGAUCAGAGAAGGCCUACCUGAGGAAAUGAUACUUGAGCUGACAUCUGAAGAAUAAGUGAGAUAAUUAGGUGAUGUGGGAGAAAAGUGUUUCAGCAGAAGGAAUAGUUCCUGCAAAGGCCUUGGGGUUGGGGGUAGAAUAGAACACUCAAAGAAUUGGAAGAAGGCUGGUGUGGUUAGAGGGCGGAGGUGGGGUGGGGGUUGCUGGGAGGUGAGACUAAAGCCUGUAAAGGCAACACCAAGAGACAUAUAUUUUUGUAAGAGCCAAGGAAUACCAUUUGUGGCAUAGAGUAUUGGUUGUGCUUCAGUAUCCUUUUCCCCCUCUAUUCUUUCAGUGUUUAAAUCCUAGAGUUUCAGCUACUCAUUUAAAAGGUAACUUUCCAUACUGACUUGCAUAUGGAUUUGCCCAUGUGACCAAGUUCUGAUCAGUGGGUUGUGAGCAAAGGGCCGGCUUCCAUUUCUUCCUAUUUCCUUCUCAUCAGCUGAAAUCUUCUCACUGGGCUGAAGGAGUCAUCCUAGACCUUGAGAUAGAAGCCAUAUGCUAAGGAUGGCAAAGCAGCAACACAGAGAGAAACUAGAUCCCCAUCAUCAUGAAGCAUGCAUAGCAGCCCCAGGCUGCUAAACUCAGACUAUAUGUGACAUGUUGAUAAAUUUCUGGUGCUUCCCUGGUGGCCCAGAUGGUAAAGCGUCUGUCUGCAAUGCGGGAGACCCAGGUUCGAUCCCUGGCUCUGGAAGAUCCCCUGGAGAAGGAGAUGGCAACCCACUUCAGUACUCUUGCGUGGAAAAUCCCAU
ensembl:lncRNA